AGUGAACGCUGGCGGUAGGCCUAACACAUGCAAGUCGAACGGCAGCACAGUAAGAGCUUGCUCUUACGGGUGGCGAGUGGCGGACGGGUGAGGAAUACAUCGGAAUCUACUUUUUCGUGGGGGAUAACGUAGGGAAACUUACGCUAAUACCGCAUACGACCUACGGGUGAAAGCAGGGGAUCUUCGGACCUUGCGCGAUUGAAUGAGCCGAUGUCGGAUUAGCUAGUUGGCGGGGUAAAGGCCCACCAAGGCGACGAUCCGUAGCUGGUCUGAGAGGAUGAUCAGCCACACUGGAACUGAGACACGGUCCAGACUCCUACGGGAGGCAGCAGUGGGGAAUAUUGGACAAUGGGCGCAAGCCUGAUCCAGCCAUACCGCGUGGGUGAAGAAGGCCUUCGGGUUGUAAAGCCGUUUUGUUGGGAAAGAAAAGCAGCAGGUUAAUACGCCGCUGUCCUGACGGUACCCAAAGAAUAAGCACCGGCUAACUUCGUG
rnacentral:rRNA from 1 species